CCUGUUCCAUCGGGUCUAUCGGAAGUGGAAACGAAAACCUCGUGCUUCUUAUCCUGUUAAAAAAAAAAAAAGCAAAAACAAAAAGGGGAAAACGCAACUCCGCUGAAGAAGAAGAAGAAGAAGAAGAAGAAGAAAGUAACAAUGGGGCGGGCACCCGCACUUCUCUCGCAAUUCCUCUCUUUGUCAACGACGGCUGGGCCUCACUUCAGAGCUUCCAUGACAUGUAGAUUGAAUCCGAGGAAAUACUUGAACGGAACCGCCAAAAUUCCGCCGAUUCGCGAAAAUUUGCGAUGUCUCUGCAGCGUAGCCGUCUCGGAGCCUGCGACUUCAGAACCGUCUUCCACUCCCGUAAAGAAGAGGAUAGUCUCUGGUGUGCAGCCCACAGGAUCCAUACAUCUUGGCAAUUAUCUUGGGGCUAUAAAAAAUUGGAUUGACUUGCAAAACGCAUAUGACACCCUUUUCUUCAUUGUGGACCUGCAUGCGAUCACCUUGCCUUAUGAUACACAACAGCUAUCCAAAGCAACAAAAGAAACAGCAGCAAUUUACUUGGCAUGUGGAGUGGAUCCCUCCAAGGCUUCAGUGUUUGUGCAGUCUCAUGUCCGUGCUCAUGUAGAAUUGAUGUGGCUGCUCAGUUCUACAACCCCAAUUGGUUGGCUGAAUAGAAUGAUCCAAUUCAAGGAGAAAUCAUUGAAAGCGGGAGAUGAAAAUGUUGGGGUUGCUCUGCUGACAUAUCCUGUCCUAAUGGCGUCUGAUAUUUUGCUAUACCAGUCUGAUUAUGUCCCUGUUGGGGAUGAUCAGAAACAACAUCUGGAGUUAACUCGAGAACUUGCUCAGCGUGUUAACUAUCUUUAUGGAGGAAGGAAGUGGAAGAAAUUGGGAGGGCGAGGUGGUGCAAUUUUUAAGGUUCCGGAACCCCUUAUUCCACCUGCUGGAGCUCGAGUCAUGUCCCUAACUGAUGGUCUUUCAAAGAUGUCCAAAUCGGCGCCUUCUGAUCAGUCUCGAAUCAAUUUGCUUGACCCUAAAGAUGUUGUCAAUAAUAAAAUUAAGCGUUGCAAGACUGACUCAUUUCCUGGCCUGGAAUUUGAUAACUCUGAAAGACCUGAAUGUAACAAUCUUCUCUCAAUUUAUCAGCUCGUCACGGGGAAGACAAAGCAGGUUCUUCUACGCCAGUGAUCUUUGUCUUUCCUCAGGAAGUGGCUGAAGAAUGUCGAGAUAUGAACUGGGGGACGUUCAAACCCGUCCUUACAGAUGCUUUGAUCGCUCACUUGCAUCCCAUCCAGGUUCGAUAUGGGGAAAUCAUGUCUGAUGCAAGUUACCUAGAUUCAGUGUUGGCUGAAGGUGCUAGAAAAGCUGCAGACAUUGCAGAUAAUACCCUCAAAAAUGUGUACCAAGCUAUGGGAUUCUUGCGGUGAUAAAUAUAACCCAUGCUGCUUCUGGAACUUGCUGAAAGGGUCAGCUCGAUAGCAACCUAAAAGCUCACUCAUCAAAAGUUCAAAUUCCAUAUUCUCCAACAUGCAUUAUCAUGAGCUCGUUACUGUUGAGGGGAGAAAUAAUUUAUCCAAAAAGGCAAGCAUUAAAGCUUUUACGCUAUCCUCACGCCUCCCUUUUAAGGGCGUGAAUAGAUGGAUUUUGAACAGUUGAUAAUUCCCUUAAUUCCCUAUUCUUUGAAAUCUAUACCGUGAUUUCUGAUAGGAGUUUGCCUUUAUUGGUAUAUACAAAACGUACACCUCUUGAUCAUCCUAUAAAUCAAUGUAAAUUGUAGCUGCAAUUCCAGAUGCAGUAUGUUAUGCCAAUUGAUGGUCAGUUUAAGGAUUUAAAACACCUUUGCUCCGUUCCACUU